ensembl:lncRNA
GCACACUGAGCAGCAGUGAGUGCUUGUUCUCAGCCUUGCCUCCUUACCACCUCAUGUAUACAGGUUCUUUUCUUAACCCGUUAAGCAACAAACUAGUUUUAUUUGUAUUUCUUUGACUACCAGUGAAACAGCCCUUGUAAUGUCUCACUGGGCAUAUGUGUUACUUUAAUCCCCAGUUCAUGCUCAUGUUUACCUGUUAGCCUCUGCUGCCUUCUGUCACCAAGAGCGCACCACCCACUUUUCCUUUUGAGCGCCCCCACAUCCCUGCAAGUAAACCUGCGCGUGCGCAGUGUGGCAUUGCUCCACCCUCAGCUACCACAGCGGCCCAGUUACCCGGGGCAGUGCCCUCCCCCAGAGGAAAUGGCCAGCGAAGGUCACUGAGGUACAAGCACGUAUUUUCUGAGGCUUUUUUAGAUAUCAAAGAGACACCUUCUUGCAAGUAGUAUGUCGCGAGGAGUAACAUUUCUUGCUGAAGCUAAUUUUUCUAAUAAAAGUCAACCUGAGGUGGUACCUAGAAAACAAAAGGAACUCUGAAUUGGAGAACCAGAUGCAAUCUGGAACCUCUGGAUGGAAUCAGACCUGAAGGGAGAUGUUUCUGGAUCUUCACCAACAUAGAUCAAUACAUUCAUUUUUUGUAUGAGCAACUAUAACUUGGAUUGGGGAACAACUAAAUAUACAAUAUAUAACACCUCCUCUGCAAGUCUGAAGAGUGCCUCCGAACAGGGGCAUGACAGGUGGAGACCUGGAGCUACCAAGGGCACAAAGAGCUCCCUAGUGGAAUCAUCCAAAGUUCAAGCCAUUCUUUACAAGUUGGCAAGAAGUGGCAAGAUCGCUUCUGGACUGUGGCUGAGGGGGUGCUGGAGCCAAGUCACAAGGUUGCUUCAGGGUCUGCAGCUGGACCAAGGUC